CCUACGGGAGGCAGCAGUAGGGAAUCUUGCGCAAUGGGCGAAAGCCUGACGCAGCCAUGCUGCGUGAAUGAUGAAGGUCUUAGGAUUGUAAAAUUCUUUCACCGGGGAAGAUAAUGACGGUACCCGGAGAAGAAGCCCCGGCUAACUUCGUGCCAGCAGCCGCGGUAAUACGAAGGGGGCUAGCGUUGCUCGGAAUUACUGGGCGUAAAGGGCGCGUAGGCGGAUAGUUUAGUCAGAGGUGAAAGCCCAGGGCUCAACCUUGGAACUGCCUUUGAUACUGGCUAUCUUGAGUUCGGGAGAGGUGAGUGGAAUGCCGAGUGUAGAGGUGAAAUUCGUAGAUAUUCGGCGGAACACCAGUGGCGAAGGCGACUCACUGGCCCGAUACUGACGCUGAGGCGCGAAAGCGUGGGGAGCAAACAGGAUUAGAUACCCUGGUAGUCCACGCUGUAAACGAUGAGUGCUAGUUGUCGGCGAUGCAUGCAUGUCGGUGGACGCAGCUAACGACAUUAAGUACACCUCCGCCGUCGGGGAGGUACGGUCGGCGAAGAAGUUAAAACGUAACAAGAAGUAGUAGACGNGNGAGAGACGACGACGACGACGACGGAGGGAGGAGG
rnacentral:rRNA from 1 species